AUAUUGCAAACUGAUCAAAGCGCUUC
rnacentral:piRNA from 1 species